rnacentral:lncRNA from 1 species
AUCUUGCAUGUUUGUGACGGAAGUGCAGCACGGGACGCGGCGGACGCAGUGAAUUGGAGGCUGGAGCGACUGCUGGACGGUGCCAUGGAGGCCACUUUCUCAGAGAGGCGACACCUCAUCGUCAAGAGGAAAAUCCCGAUGGCCACCAUCCGUCGUCGAUGAAAACAAAGUCUGGAAAGAGCUGAGUCGGAUAAAAAAUGCCGACUUGCAGGACACCAACGAGUUGGAACUCUCCCGGGAAGCCAUGGCCCCGAUUGUGGCCAAUGGCGAAGGUGAAAGAGCAGCUGGAUGCCUCACAGAUGACGAUGCGAUCGACCAUCUUCUCUGCACCGUGCUAAAGAGCACCAAGUUGUGUUCACAUCGGCGCCGCAGCCACGGCCUCAUGUG